AUUAGCAGUUAAACAUAAACUCUA
rnacentral:siRNA from 1 species